GCAUACCAUCUGUGCCAACUUGCUCACCCUCUUUUGAAAGCAUCUGGAAAUGGAUCGGUUGUCUUUAUCUCUUCUGUUGCUGGUCUGGUGCACCUGUCCAGUGGUUCUAUUUAUGGAGCAACGAAAGGGGCAAUAAAUCAGCUCACGCGAAAUUUGGCUUGUGAAUGGGCAAAAGAUAACAUUCGGGUUAAUGGUGUUGCCCCGUGGUAUAUAAAGACGUCUUUGGUAGAACAUUUGCUCGAAAAUAAAACAUUUUUGGAUGGAGUAAUAUCUAGAACUCCCCUUAGACGCCCUGGAGAAUCUCAAGAAGUUUCAUCCCUGGUAGCUUAUCUAUGUUUACCUGGGGCAUCUUACAUUACCGGGCAAGUUAUAGCGGUUGAUGGUGGAUUCACAGUCAAUGGAUUUGAAAUGCCAAGUUUCUGAUUUUUAUGGUCCAUGUAGCUUUUACAUGUGCAAACACCCAUCUUUGUUUCUUAGUGAUCACGUUGAGACCGACAUGAAUAAAGCUCUAUUUAAUAUCUUCCUUAGUCCCUGUUUAUCAGAUCAUGAGAAGAGC
rnacentral:misc_RNA from 1 species